rnacentral:rRNA from 1 species
GACGAACGCUGGCGGCGUGCUUAACACAUGCAAGUCGAACGGAAAGGCCCUGCUUUUGUGGGGUUCUCGAGUGGCGAACGGGUGAGUAACCCGUGAGUAACCUGCCCUCGACUUUGGGAUAACUUCAGGCAACUGGGGCUAAUACCGGAUAGGAGCUCCUGCUGCAUGGUGGGGGUUGGACAGUUUCGGCGGUUGGGGAUGGACUCGCGGCUUAUCAGCUUGUUGGUGGGGUAGUGGCUUACCAAGGCUUUGACGGGUAGCCGGCAUGAGAGGGUGACCGGCCACAUUGGGACUGAGAGACGGCCCAGACUCCUACGGGAGGCAGCAGUGGGGAAUAUGGCACAAUGGGCGGAAGCCUGAUGCAGCAAUGCCGCGUGCGGGAUGACGGCCUUCGGGUUGUAAACCGCUUUCGCCUGUGACGAAGCGUGAGUGACGGUAAUGGGUAAAGAAGCACCGGCUAACUACGUG